GAUGAACGCUGGCGGCGUGCCUAAUACAUGCAAGUCGAGCGAAUGGAUUAAGAGCUUGCUCUUAUGAAGUUAGCGGCGGACGGGUGAGUAACACGUGGGUAACCUGCCCAUAAGACUGGGAUAACUCCGGGAAACCGGGGCUAAUACCGGAUAACAUUUUGAACCGCAUGGUUCGAAAUUGAAAGGCGGCUUCGGCUGACACUUAUGGAUGGACCCCCGUCGCAUUAGCUAGUUGGUGAGGUAACGGCUCAGCAAGGCAACGAUGCGUAGCCGAGCUGAGAGGGUGAUCGGCCACACUGGGACUGAGACACGGCCCAGACUCCUACGGGAGGCAGCAGUAGGGAAUCUUCCGCAAUGGACGAAAGUCUGACGGAGCAACGCCGCGUGAGUGAUGAAGGCUUUCGGGUCGUAAAACUCUGUUGUUAGGGAAGAACAAGUGCUAGUUGAAUAAGCUGACACCUUGACGGUACCUAACCAGAAAGCCACGGCUAACUACGUGCCAGCCGCCGCCGUAA
rnacentral:rRNA from 1 species